rnacentral:misc_RNA from 1 species
CAGAGUUGCAAAACUCCCUAAACCAUUGUGAACGUUACCUAAACCGUUGCUUCGGCGGGCGGCCCGGGUCCUUCCCGGCGCCCCCCGGCCCUCGCGGGCGCCCGCCGGAGGUAAACCAAACUAUUGCAUUAAUGGCCUCUCUGAGUCUUCUGUACUGAAUAAGUCAA